GAUGAACGCUGGCGGCGUGCUUAACACAUGCCAGUCGAACGGAAAGGCCUCUGCUUGCAGGGGUACUCGAGUGGCGAACGGGUGAGUAACACGUGGGUGAUCUGCCCUGCACUUCGGGAUAAGCCUGGGAAACUGGGUCUAAUACCGGAUAGGACAAUGGUUUGGAUGCUGUUGUGGAAAGUUUUUCGGUGUGGGAUGAGCUCGCGGCCUAUCAGCUUGUUGGUGGGGUAAUGGCCUACCAAGGCGUCGACGGGUGGCCGGCCUGAGAGGGUGUACGGCCACAUUGGGACUGAGAUACGGCCCAGACUCCUACGGGAGGCAGCAGUGGGGAAUAUUGCACAAUGGGCGCAAGCCUGAUGCAGCGACGCCGCGUGGGGGAUGACGGCCUUCGGGUUGUAAACUCCUUUCGCUAGGGACGAAGCGUUUUUGUGACGGUACCUGGAGAAGAAGCACCGGCUAACUACGUG
rnacentral:rRNA from 1 species